rnacentral:tRNA from 1 species
AGAAAUUUAGGUUAAAAAAACUUAAAGCCUUCAAAGCUUUAAAUAGAAGUUAAAUCUUCUAAUUUCUG